AUUGAACGCUGGCGGCAUGCCUUACACAUGCAAGUCGAACGGCAGCACGGACUUCGGUCUGGUGGCGAGUGGCGAACGGGUGAGUAAUGUAUCGGAACGUACCCUUCAGUGGGGGAUAACUAUCCGAAAGGAUAGCUAAUACCGCAUAUUCUCUGAGGAGGAAAGCGGGGGAUCGCAAGACCUCGCGCUGAUGGAGCGGCCGAUAUCAGAGUAGCUAGUUGGUGGGGUAAAGGCCUACCAAGGCGACGAUCUGUAGCGGGUCUGAGAGGAUGAUCCGCCACACUGGGACUGAGACACGGCCCAGACUCCUACGGGAGGCAGCAGUGGGGAAUUUUGGACAAUGGGGGCAACCCUGAUCCAGCCAUGCCGCGUGAGUAAAGAAGGCCUUCGGGUUGUAAAGCUCUUUCGGCCGGGAAGAAAUCGCGUGAGUUAAUACCUUGCGUGGAUGACGGUACCGGAAUAAGAAGCACCGGCUAACUACGUGCCAGCCGCCGCAGUAACAC
rnacentral:rRNA from 1 species